GUUCUUUUAUUAAAGAAGAAAAAAUGAUGGAAAAAUCAUUCUGACGGUAUUUAAUGAAUAAGCCCCGGCUAACUAUGUGCCAGCAGCUGCGGUAAUACAUGGGGGGCAAGCGUUAUCCGGAUUUAUUGGGCGUAAAGGGUGCGUAGGCGGUUAAAUAAGUCUAUGGUAUAAGUUCAACGCUUAACGUUGUGAUGCUAUAGAAACUGUUUGACUAGAGUUGGAUAGAGGCAAGUGGAAUUCCAUGUGUAGCGGUAAAAUGCGUAAAUAUAUGGAGGAACACCAGUAGCGAAGGCGGCUUGCUGGGUCUUAACUGACGCUGAGGCACGAAAGCGUGGGGAGCAAACAGGAUUAGAUACCCUGGUAGUCCACGCCGUAAACGAUGAGUACUAAGUGUUGGGUUAAACCAGUGCUGAAGUUAACACAUUAAGUACUCCGCCUGAGUAGUACGUACGCAAGUAUGAAACUUAAAGGAAUUGACGGGACUCCGCACAAGCGGUGGAUCAUGUUGUUUAAUUCGAAGAUACACGAAAAACCUUACCAGGUCUUGACAUACUCUGCAAAGCUAUAGAAAUAUAGUGGAGGGUUAUCAGGGAUACAGGUGGUGCAUGGUUGUCGUCAGCUCGUGUCGUGAGAUGUUGGGUUAAGUCCCAGCAACGAGCGCAACCCUUAUCACUAGUUACCAUCAUUUAGUUGGGCACUUUAGUGAGACUGCCAAUGAUAAAUUGGAGGAAGGUGGGGAUUACGUCAAAUCAUCAUGCCCCU
rnacentral:rRNA from 1 species